rnacentral:rRNA from 1 species
CGAACGCUGGCGGCAUGCCUAACACAUGCAAGUUGAACGGGAUGGUACCUUCGGGUACCGGCGAGUGGCGCACGGGUGAGUAACACGUGGGAAUCUACCUUAGAGUGGGGAAUAACCAUUGGAAACGAUGGCUAAUACCGCAUAAUCCCUCAGGGGGAAAGGCUUCGGCCGCUCUUAGAUGAGCCCGCGUUAGAUUAGCUAGUUGGUAAGGUAAAAGCUUACCAAGGCUACGAUCUAUAGCUGGUCUGAGAGGAUGAUCAGCCACACUGGAACUGAGACACGGUCCAGACUCCUACGGGAGGCAGCAGUGGGGAAUAUUGGACAAUGGGCGAAAGCCUGAUCCAGCAAUGCCGCGUGAGUGAAGAAGGCCUUAGGGUUGUAAAACUCUUUCGCCCGCGAUGAUGAUGACAGUAGCGGGUAAAGAAGCUCCGGCUAACUUC